GACGAACGCUGGCGGUGUGCUUAACACAUGCAAGUGGAGCGACGAACCAGGGCUUGCCCUGGGGCAGAGCCGCGAACGGGUGAGUAACACGUGGGUAACGUACCCCGAUGACCGGGACAACCCGAGGAAACUCGGGCUAAUACCGGAUGUGUCCGACUUUCACGAGGAAGUCGAGCAAAGGAAGCUUCGGCCUCCGCAUCGGGAGCGGCCCGCGGCCCAUUAGCUUGUUGGUGGGGUAACGGCCUACCAAGGCUGCGAUGGGUAGCCGGUCUGAGAGGACGAUCAGCCACACUGGGACUGAGACACGGCCCAGACUCCUACGGGAGGCAGCAGUGGGGAAUCUUGCGCAAUGCGCGAAAGCGUGACGCAGCAACACCGCGUGAGGGAAGACGGCCUUCGGGUUGUAAACCUCUUUCAGGAGGGACGAAGGGCGACCGGUUAACAGCCGUGCCGCUUGACGGUACCUCCAGAAGAAGCUCCGGCUAACUACGUGCCAGCAGCCGCGGUAAUAC
rnacentral:rRNA from 1 species